ensembl:lncRNA
AUGGAAAGGAAACCACUCAACAAAAGGGUAAUCUCAGGACGCUUGGAGGAGCCCACACAGGAGAGAAGAGAAAGAGAGGACGGAAGGAUAGAAGAGUGUUUUGCAGUGCUGCCGGCAAUGACUCAUAGCUCCAUCAGGAUGAUUCCAGCACAGCAGUGUGUCACUGCAAGACAAUCUGUGCAGCUGGAAAUCAGCCUCCAGUGUUCAGAACUUGACACACUUCAUUCACCCUGUGUUCUAAUCAGCGCCGUGACGUCUGCAGCAAAAGUUUCCAAUGUUAAGUAAUUCGUCUGUCUGUGCAUGAAUUGAAAAGCCUAAAAACUAAUUUGUGACCCUGCACAACACCAAUCUUAAGUCGCUGGGUUAUAUUUGUAGUAAUAGCCAAAAAUACAUUGUAUGGGUCAAAAUUAUUAUUUUUUUAAUGCCAAAAAUCAUUAGGAUAUUAAGUAAAGAUCAUGUUCCAUGAAGACAUUGUGUAAAUUUCCUACUGUAAAUGUAUUAGAA